GUGAGGAAUAUUGCGCAAUGGAGGCAACUCUGACGCAGCCAUGCCGCGUGCAGGAAGAAGGCGCUACGCGUUGUAAACUGCUUUUAACCGGGAAGAAACCCCAGGACGUGUCCUGGGUUGACGGUACCGGAGGAAUAAGCACCGGCUAACUUCGUGCCAGCAGCCGCGGUAAUACGAAGGGUGCAAGCGUUAUCCGGAUUCAUUGGGUUUAAAGGGUGCGUAGGCGGAGCGUUAAGUCAGUGGUGAAAUCCUGCAGCUUAACUGUAGACUUGCCAUUGAUACUGGCGCUCUUGAGUGUGCUUGAAGUGGGCGGAAUGUGCCGUGUAGCGGUGAAAUGCUUAGAUAUGGCACAGAACACCAAUUGCGAAGGCAGCUCACUAAGGCGAUACUGACGCUGAGGCACGAAAGCGUGGGGAUCGAACAGGAUUAGAAACCCGUGUAGUCC
rnacentral:rRNA from 1 species